rnacentral:rRNA from 1 species
UGGGGAAUAUUGCACAAUGGGGAAAGCCCUGAUGCAACGACGCCGCGUGAGCGAAGAAGUAUUUCGGUAUGUAAAGCUCUAUCAGCAGGGAAGAAAAUGACGGUACCUGACUAAGAAGCCCCGGCUAACUACGUGCCAGCAGCCGCGGUAAUACGUAGGGGGCAAGCGUUAUCCGGAUUUACUGGGUGUAAAGGGAGCGUAGACGGAGCAGCAAGUCUGAUGUGAAAGGCAGGGGCUCAACCCCUGACUGCAUUGGAAACUGUUGAUCUUGAGUACCGGAGGGGUAAGCGGAAUUCCUAGUGUAGCGGUGAAAUGCGUAGAUAUUAGGAGGAACACCAGUGGCGAAGGCGGCUUACUGGACGGUAACUGACGUUGAGGCUCGAAAGCGUGGGGAGCAAACAGGAUUAGAUACCC